rnacentral:rRNA from 1 species
UACAGAGGAGCCAAGCGUUGUCCGGAUUGACUGGGCGUAAAGCGCACGCAGGCGGCCGCGCGCGUGGGGUGUGAAAUCUGGCCGCUUAACGGCCAGGCGCCAUCCCAUACGGCGCGGCUGGAGCCAUGCAGAGGGCGGUGGAAUUGCCGGUGUAGUGGUGAAAUGCGCAGAUAUCAGGAGGAACACCCGUGGCGAAAGCGGCUCUCUGGGACGGUACUGACGCUGAGACGCGAAAGCGUGGGGAGCAAACAGG